GUUGUUGAAACUCAUGCUUUUGAAGAUGUCUUUGCAGUUGAACAAUCCGCCAUUCAAUCUUCUGAUUCAUUCUUCCCCAUAUCAGGAUGACCCCUCAAAUGCACCUUCUACACACUGGUUUUUACAAAUCGCUCCCCAUUUGAGUGGAGUUGGUGGAUUUGAGAUAGCAACGGGAUGUUACAUAAAUCCUGUUUUCCCAGAGGAUGCUGCCAAAAUUCUAAGGGAUGUGAGAAUCUCCAAUAACA
rnacentral:misc_RNA from 1 species